rnacentral:rRNA from 1 species
GACGAACGCUGGCGGCGUGCUUAACACAUGCAAGUCGAACGGAAAGGCCUGCUUUCCCUUGUGGAUUGCGGGUGCUCGAGUGGCGAACGGGUGAGUAACACGUGAGUGAUCUGCCCCCAACUUGGGUAUAAGCCUGGGAAACUGGGUCUAAUUCCCGAUAGGACUGCAGGGUGGUGCCUGUGGUGGAAAACGAUUUUCUAGUGGUUGGGGAUGAGCUCGCGGCCUAUCAGCUUGUUGGUGGGGUAAUGGCCUACCAAGGCGGCGACGGGUAGCCGGCCUGAGAGGGUGGACGGCCACAGUGGGACUGAGAUACGGCCCAGACUCCUACGGGAGGCAGCAGUGGGGAAUAUUGCACAAUGGGCGGAAGCCUGAUGCAGCGACGCCGAGUGGGGGAUGACGGCCUUCGGGUUGUAAACUCCUUUCGACCGCGAGGAAGCCACCUGGUUGGAAGGGUGGUGACGGUAGUGGUAGAAGAAGCACCGGCUAACUACGUG